rnacentral:misc_RNA from 1 species
CGCAGAUCGUGGCCGAAGCAAGGGAAACCUUGGCGAGGAACUUGCACGAAUCGAUUCCGAAAGGAUACACAAGACGCUCUGCCGGCACUCCUCGCUCUUCCUUCUUUGGUGCUCCACUGUUAUGCGCAGCAAGCCCCCGCCCUCGUCCUGCCCUCGCCUUCCCUCCUCCACCGGCUUGGCACUUUCCUUGGUGUGUUACACAGCUACACACACGCACAUGUGGCUACCCUUUCAUGUAAAUUAGCUUUCUGACACAUUUGUGUAUACCGCGUCCUUCGCGCGUCUCCGCGCAUCGCAUCCUUCCUCGUUGUUCUUUCUCUUGUUCCUCUCUGCCUCUCGCACUCUCUCUCCACCUUGUGCAUAUAUACGAGCGAAGAGCGUCGAUACCUUCUCACCAGCGUGACUGCUUGCCUGCGCGUGUGUCCUUGUGUGUGUGUGUGUAUGUUCUCUGCCUCCGAUGGUGUGCCCGCUCCCUCCCUCCCUCCCUUCCUUCCUCCCUCCAUCCCUCUGUCUCUGUCUCGCUGUGUGUACGCAGCAGACCGCUAACUUCUUUUGUCCCUUGCAUUGCUCGCCCGUCUCUCGAGUGGCGUUCAUGCGACGGGGCACAGCGUCACCACACCCACACACCCAUACCCACACCCCGCACAAACUGAGCCUCUCCCUCACCCGUCGUCUUUCCCUCUGCCGUCUCUUCACCUCUCUGCCACGUAAGCGAAUCAGCUCGCCAGAGGCGCAUGCGGUCUCCAACCCUGCAGGCACAGUCGAGUGCUGCUGCCCGGCAUGGCGAGCGCGACCGUGUGCUGUCGCCGCAGCGAGAGCAGGGAGGGCCUAGCACGGCACAUGGUGCCAAGGACACCGACCAGAAUCAGGUCACCUCUGCUGCUACAGCGGUGGCGUCGGCAAUGCAGCCUUCGCAGCUCUCUCUGAAAGAAACCGCCAUGCAUCGCUGCACGUCCGCCCUACAGCACUUGCAGUCGAUACAGCGGGACGAAGGACUAAGUGGGACGCAUACAUGGCGGGAAACGCCGUCUGCGGCUGUUGUGGCGUCAGCAACGACAGCGAUGCAGCCGCUCCACUCCUCUGCGGCCAGCGUUCACCACCCGACUGCGAGCAUCCCUUCGAAAGCGCGGCAGGGGUGCUCGCCCUCCUUGGCCCGCCCCUCCAGCGCCGCGGCCAACUUCCGCGGUACAACGAACGGCUCCUCUGUACCGCACCCGGCGCUGCGGUCUCGCGCCAUCUCGGCCGUUCAGCAGCAGCACCUCCGCACUUUGCCACGCCACGUCAGCCGCGCGCGGAGCAGCUCUUCUCAUAGUCGACCGGCGUCGGCGGCGCAGCGGAAGGAUUUCCCACAGAUGAUGGCAUCCGGAAGUGCCGCGGCGCGUUCACAGGAGAGCGCGACGUCUGUGCCAAGCGGCAACGGAUGCAGACUCUUCGGCAAGAGUCCUAUGACGGCUCCGCCCGUGGCCACCACGGCGCAUAUACGCGCCUUCAGCAACAAGGCCCUUUACGUCCGUCCUCGGUCAGCGAGCCUCACCUGCACCUCGUUGCCAGCCCCGCAGUCUGCGAAGCCCAAUCGAAACUCGAUCCAGGUCCUGGCGGUCUGUCACAACGGAUCUCCGACUGCACAGGCAUGGCGGGCGGGCAUAGCGAACAACAGCACCGUCAGAGGCCCCGAGUCGCUCUCGCAGAGUGGCCAGCGUCACUUUCUACGUGCGCCGCGGCCUCACCACGUCCCUACGAUGGGUACACGAGAGCAGGCCGCCGUGGAUUACACGAGCGUAAAGGCUGCACAGCGGAGUCGUAGCUGCUCAACGUCGAUGGUGCAGCGGCAGCAACCGCGACAGACUUCAGCUGGCUCUUCAACUCAGGCAGGUCAGACGCAGCCCCAAGGCACCCGCGCGGGCGCCGCCGGCUCCGGCACACCGGGCUGCCAGCUCGAUGAAUCUGGCGUUGCCGACAACGACGGCGGCCGUCACCGCUGCGUCGAUGAGCAUCAGGCGUCUGAGGAGCUGGCGAUGGCCGUCCCCUUCACACCUCAAGCGGCUGCAGGGGUGGCCGGCAUCGAGAUCGGCCCCGCUGCGGGGGAGUGGAACCUACCGCGCAUUCAGCAACGCAUCCUUGCUGCGCGGCUGCAAGCGGAGGUACACCAGCACUUCACCAGCGCGGUGGAGAUACUGCUCUCCGUCCAGAUGAGUCUCGAUGUGGACUACCAAGAAGCCUCACAGGGCGGUGGUGGCCGCGAACCUGCCUCGGUCUUCUUGCUCACUCCAGCGCAGCGGGCGUACUACGCCGACCUCGUGGGGCGUGAGCUGCAGUACGUAACGGCUCUGUGGACGGCGAAGCUGCAGUCCACGGAGUCGCCGACGCUUGCCGUCACGGCGCCAACCGUGAAUAGGCUUCGAGGAACAGCAAGAUAUAUUGCCGGCUCCCACGCGGUGCCUUCCGAGCCUACGACAGCAACGGAGGCGGUGGGGAAGGAAGGCACCAACGUGCGCUUCAGAAGAAACUCCCGUGCAAUGGCGCGCCUCAUGCCGUCGACAGAGCACCGCCUCGCCUCCCCAACGCACGUGACCGACAGCACGGCGUCCAGCGCGUCAUGUCCCAACUCUUCCACGCCCGCGCACUCAGCCGUGGCCGUAAGUGCCACUUCGACGUGCCAUCCAUUGCCCAAGACAGCAUCGCGCAAGAGGGCCCUUGUCGAGUUUCACCAAAUACCGGAGAUGCAGACUUGCGCUCAUCGAUCGCGGAAGCCGCAUGUCAGCGCCACGGAUGACCUCAACGGUGAUGGGUCAGAGGCGAGUCAGCUCAGCAGCGUUCUCGCCAAUACCGACAGUAGCAAGGUGGGGACGCCAUCUCCGCAUACCUCCUCAUUCAGUGAGCACGGCAUAUCCGCUACCGGCAUCCGCACGAAUGACCCGUCUAUUCACGCGGUCUCCGAAAGCUCGGCACUCAACGGCACCACGGAGCCCGCACAGCCUUGCGGGCAACGUUCACCAUUUGGCCAAAGGCGCGGCAGGCAGCCCAUCCGUCGAAACCCGUACCUGAUGGACGCCGUCAGCACCGACUCGUCCGUUGUCAAUGAGCUUUCUUCGGUGUGGGACGACGAGGUGCUUGGGUCGCAGCUGCACGGGCCCUUUGAAGAUGCCGUGAUGCAGCGCGUGCGGUGCCGCUCCAUGCAGAGGAAGAGGUCGUCUAUCAACGAACCCCAAACCACGGCAGAAGCGAGAGCCUCCUCUCACAGCAUCCCCCUCGGUCUUGCAUCCGAAGGCAGCGAUGGCCGCGGGACGGAUCACCGCGGCUCGCUCGUCGCGGACACGUCCCCAGAGUGCAGCAGCGACAGUAGCGGACGGCGGGCCAGCAUACUCAGAGCCUGCCCGCACGCUUGCCAGCUUUCACCGUCGCAACUGACGGCAUCGGCAGCCAAGUGUCGCGCUGCAUGCGACGCUGUGGCUUCUGCGCCGACAUCGGGGCACGAGACAACCGCCGCCGCCCUUCACAAGGCCAAAGACGCCGCCUCUCCGGUGUCGGCGCGUGCGGGCUCGUCGCACACGCUGUCGUCGGCCGCGUUGCCUGUUGCGUCCAACUGCUCCUCCCUGCAUACGCCCAAGAGGCACCGCCCAGCCCACUCUGCUGAAACUGACGUUGAUGCUGCCGCUCCACCGUCCUGCCGGCCCACGGAGCUGGGAACGACUAUCCAAUCACCUCUUCGCUCCGCAAGCCACAUGGCAAGAGACGCACACGUUGGGGACUCCGCACCAGCGCCAUCCACUCUCUCCGCCGCGGCGACGAGCGGUGAGGCCACCGCGAAAACCCAACCUGUCGGUGCGGGUGACGCCAACGUCGCACCUGCUAGCCGAGCCUCUUCGAGCAGGCCGCUCCCGUACGUGAAGGAUGGCGAGCAGUACAGUGAGUUGAACGUGAGCGAUGCAAGCAGUGCGGUGAAGCGCCGUCAGAUGGCGCAGCAGAGCGCGCUUCUCCCAGAGAAGCAGCAACGGGGCAGUGCGUCGUUCUCGGUCAUUGAGGCGCCAGGCGACGUGCAACUGUCGAGUGGAACACACACCAGCUCCACACAUCCCCUGCCCCGCCACCGCAGCUCAGGCGGCGACGGCAGCAUUGCCUCGAGCGGCGUCAUCAGUGUCAUCACGACCACCAUCAGCAGCACAAGCGGAGCUGCGGACUUGCCCGCCUCCACGACUGAAAGAGCAUCGAUCACAGCCGCGGCUUCCAGCGCCGGCGCGCAGCACGGGCAUCACCACACGCAGCACCUGCAGAACGGCACGUUGGACAGGGAUCGAGGUUACCAAGAGCCACGGCGGUUUCUCAGCCCACCAUCCUCUACACGGCUGCUCGUUGCGCGCGACGAGGAUGGCAGCCGCUGCCCAUGCCUGUCGCCCACGCAAACGCCCUAUGCCUACGAGCAUAAGACGGUUGUUUGCAGUGACGGACAUCCCUGCAAGCGCCUUAUCCUGUGCAAGGCGGAGCGACUGUCCCGUAGGACGCGCCUCCACCACACGGAAGCCGGGUUCGUCGUCCCGAGCAACUCAUCCCAACACGGAGGCAAUGAACCUUAUACCCCACGUUCGCUUUCUCCCCUGUCGAAUCUCACUCCAACGCAUUCCCAGCACACCGCUUCCACGCCGGUAAUCGUUGAAGCGGAUGAGAGCAGUCCGCGUGAUUCUCAGGCGGAACUUCAACAUCAGGAGCGUACGGAUACCGAGAACGCCGUGAAUGCACACAAGCCUUGUACCUCCCUCGUGGCCACUAGCGCUCCUCUGGCAGCAGAGCGAUUAGAGGAGCACCUGCCUCUAACGAUGCUGGCCACGCGUUCGGUGGAGACGUCGCCCCUGCAGAGGGAGGCGGACGGCGAGCGCGCGGCGCCGGUGCGUGUUGUGGUCGAGUCUGUCUCGAUGCGGAACACGUCGUCAGCAGAUCCUGAGAGGCAGGAAGUCGGGUUCAAUGUCUCUCCUGAAGACGAGUCAGCAUCGCAGGACGACUUCUCGGGUGCGUUCAUUAUGGAGGCGGUCGCUGGUGAUGGGAGGGACGCCAGUGCGCCAGGUGUUUUUACGACUCCUGGGCCAGGCCUGCAGACCGCUGAGGGCAGUUGGGUGAGUGACGAGCGACCCCAGUUUGUUUUCAGCGGCGAUGUAGCGCAGUUAUGGCUCGAUGAGGAGGGCUCUCUCGCCGGAAGCUACUGCAACACCUACAGAGUGGAGCUGCAACGUGCGGAGGCGGCAGCGCUGAAGUGGCGUGGGCCUCCGGUGUGCAAUCUGCGCGCUCUUGCCGCUGUCGGCGACGACAAUGUGGCGGGUGAACGACACUCGGCUCACGGCGGUCGGUCAGUCUCAUCAUCUGCUGCAGCGGAACUCAGCGCGGCGGUGCCCGCGGAAGCGUUGCACGAAGCAAGGCCUGCUGGAGGCAUGCUUGGUGGCGUGACGAGCACCUGUACGGGGCCGACAGGUAUCCACCUCGUCGGACCUCGAGAGCUUCUAAAGACGCGCCGUCGGGAGCGGCAGCAGAAGCAGCCCCCGCAGCCAAAGAUGCUCCGGCAAAGCAGCUACCACCUUCCGACAAGCUACGGUGCCGUCACCGCCGAGGCCGCGACGAAAAACUGCGGCCGGUCUUGUAGAGCUGACAUCACCGCCGCGCAACCGUUUCGGAGCGGUAGUGUGAAGGCGGAGACGGUGAGAGGAGACGGAGCACGUGCCCGCUCAACCGUCAUGCAUUUCUCGCUGCCUCCCGAUCCAGUCGCGCAGCUGCCUCACCGAAAAGUGUACGGCGAUGACAACUUCAUCAUGUUCCGUCGCGCUGCCGCGGCCGCUGUUGCUGCUUCCCACCCUGUAAUGGCAGGAGCUACCCAGCCGAAGCGCCCGGAAACGGUGGGAACUACACGCACUCAUCCCCGGUAUGCCUCUGUUCAGUAGCAGCGCCGUGCCUCAGUAGAUCGCGAGGCUCCCUGCCCCCUUCCCCCAAACCUCGAUUUCGAGUCACGGCCACGUGCGCGCGGUUGCGCGUGGUGUCCUCCAACGCUGUAUGGUGCAUCCACCCUUCCUCGCUGCGGCGUCGAAGUGCAGUUUGCUAGCUCACCAUAGGAGGAGGGGUGGUGCUGGGUGCUGUCCGUGCGGCCGUUGAAGCAUCGCAUACUGUGCUGCGGGAUGGGCUUGUGGCACAAGAGGCGACGGAGAGGGGGAAGGGGCUGCAGCAAAGGGAGCGUGAGCACAAGAGUGCGAUGGAGGGCGCAACCCCCGACGCCUGCAAUGGGAUCGCCCGCCGUCGGCCACUGCAACGGCGAUGGCACACACACAUAGACACAGCGGGGCGCUUGCUCCUUCUUCGUUCCUCUCUGUUCUGCUGUGUACGCUUAGUCUUUUCGUUUUCUUCUUUCGAAGUGUGCAGGAGCCCUGAUGACGGACGGUCACCGCAGCUCGUGGCAUCACAGGAUUCAGUGCAUUAUCCCCACUCUCUUUUUGGGGAGAAGCCGCACAGCCCCCCCCCCUCCUCCUCACCACUGCUGCGACUGCCGGACCCCCUCUGGUCCUGAAAGGGUCAGGCACCUGCAAUGUAGGGGAGUUCAGAGCAAUGCACUGCCACUGAUAUCGGCAGCCAGGCCAUGGAUGGCGUUUGCUGGAGUAACCUGCGACAGCGAGCACGCUCGUGCCAUCCACAUGAUUAGACGAAGUACCAGCGUGACGCGAGCGCAUCUCACCUCCGGCCUUCACGCUGCCUACAGAGGUGUGAUGGGGAGAGCGUGAGUCACCGCGCGAUGGACGCACCGGGUGGCGACCACUAUGACUGGGAGCGGCUGUGACGCAACCUGCGAGGCGGGUACGCGUAGCGUUUGAGGUCAGGGGUCGUGUUCUCAGAUGGCCGAGUCAGGGCACUGCUGUGCCGCGCCUCCAUCGCUGCUCCGCGCCACGCGGUGCGGGGCCUGUGACAGGGCCGGAGGGGGAGAGGGCAAAGCCGAGUUGAGCGCAUGUACUGCACGGCAGAGAAAUGGAGAUGCUGCGAAACACAAGAAGGAAAGCCGUCCCGUGCGCGUGUCUGCUCUUGGGUGUGCGUGCGUAUGUGUAUGUGUCGGUCUCUGAAGUGUUUUGUGUGUGUGUUGUUUCUUGUAUGACCAUCUUCCCUGCCACUUCCGCUUCCGCUUGCCUGUCCUUCUACAUGUAGGUAUAUGCAUGUAUAUGUGUAUGCGUGCAUGUGUGGUUCGCACUGCCUUGCCUCCCUCAUGCGAUUUUCUCAUUUCUUUGCUUCUCUCCCUCCCUGUAUGUAUAAGUGUAUGUGUACCUCUGUGCCAAUGGCUCCCCUUCUCUCUGUCUUCUCCUCGUGUGCGUGUGCGUGUGUGGGCGGCCUUGUGAGCGACACCACGCGAGAGCCGCGCGUUUACGUCUCCGUCUGCGCGCACAUGUGUCGGUGUCCGUCGGUGUCUGCAUCACCGGCACACAGGGCGGGUGAGGCAACAUGCCUCUCUCUGUUCUCAUGCCUUUAUCCUUACUCCGAAUAUAAGAACGAAAGCUCGGUGGACACGUUGUUCACGCCAUGUACAUGUGCAGCCAGUCAAACUGGCACACACACACACACGUGUGUGCUCUUGACCCGCCUGCUUCUUCCACCACCACCGCCCCUCUCUCCCUCCCUCCACCGCCUCCAGAGCAAGGCCGAAAAC